rnacentral:rRNA from 1 species
GGCCAGACUCCUACGGGAGGCAGCAGUGGGGGAUAUUGCACAAUGGGGGGAACCCUAAUGCAGCGACGCCGCGUGGGUGAAGAAGCGCCUCGGCGCGUAAAGCCCUGUCAGCAGGGAAGAAAAUGACGGUACCUGAAGAAGAAGCCCCGGCUAACUACGUGCCAGCAGCCGCGGUAAUACGUAGGGGGCAAGCGUUAUCCGGAUUUACUGGGUGUAAAGGGGGCGCAGACGGCGAUGCAAGCCAGGAGUGAAAGCCCGGGGCCCAACCCCGGGACUGCUCUUGGAACUGCGUGGCUGGAGUGCAGGAGGGGCAGGCGGAAUUCCUGGUGUAGCGGUGAAAUGCGUAGAUAUCAGGAGGAACACCGGUGGCGAAGGCGGCCUGCUGGACUGCAACUGACGUUGAGGCCCGAAAGCGUGGGGAGCAAACAGGAUUAGAUACCCUGGUAC